rnacentral:rRNA from 1 species
AGUAACGCGUGGGUAACCUGCCUUAUACAGGGGGAUAACAACCAGAAAUGGUUGCUAAUACCGCAUAAGCGCACAGGACCGCAUGGUCCGGUGUGAAAAACUCCGGUGGUAUAAGAUGGACCCGCGUUGGAUUAGCUAGUUGGCGGGGUAACGGCCUACCAAGGCGACGAUCCAUAGCCGGCCUGAGAGGGUGAACGGCCACAUUGGGACUGAGACACGGCCCAGACUCCUACGGGAGGCAGCAUG